rnacentral:lncRNA from 1 species
GCCAAGCAUCAACAUUCUCAGUAGUGCAGAGGAAUUAUCAGGACACAGCUAACAAAGAUCAGUUCUGAGCCGAGGUCGUAGUGCUUGACAAACUCUAAAUGAAGUAUAUUUGUCUCUAGAAGGGGUCCAAGACUGGAAACUAAGUUGCGCAGCUUAACUUCAAAGUUUUCUUCCUUUAAUGAGCAGUUAAUCACAUCUAUAAAAUAUCAACUCCCUAAUGGUUUGUGUUUUCUUAGUGUUUUAACACUUGCCAUUCUGUCUCUACACACACAGGGAGCUGAGGAGGAGGGGUGGGGGUGUCUCACCGCCUCUUGCUUUCCCCAGGCUUUGUGGAGCUCAGCCUGUUCGACCAAGUGCGGCUCUUGGAGAGCUGUUGGAUGGAGGUGUUAAUGAUGGGGCUGAUGUGGCGCUCAAUUGACCACCCCGGCAAGCUCAUCUUUGCUCCAGAUCUUGUUCUGGACAGGGAUGAGGGGAAAUGCGUAGAAGGAAUUCUGGAAAUCUUUGACAUGCUCCUGGCAACUACUUCAAGGUUUCGAGAGUUAAAACUCCAACACAAAGAAUAUCUCUGUGUCAAGGCCAUGAUCCUGCUCAAUUCCAGUAAGUAAUCACACAGCUGGGCCAUGUUUUAUCGGGGAGAGAUGCUGUUUCUACAACUAGCGUGAUAUUAAGAAGAAUGUUGAACUUCUAUUUUAUUUGAAAGGGUAAAAUGGUUUCCUUUUGGACUUCGUUUUUAUUUUGAUAGCGAUUUAAACUGUAGGUAACUUUUGGUAACUUGGACAUAAAUUACUCAUUAAGUGAAUGACUGGCAAUCAAUUUAAAAGUAGCUCAAGCCACUUGCUGG